GCGAGAAUAGUUUAGUGGUAGAAUGAUUGCUUCCCAAGCAAUAGGCGGGGGUUCAAUUCCCCCUUCUCGCA
rfam:Parcubacteria (Giovannonibacteria) bacterium GW2011_GWA2_44_13b TW30_C0016, whole genome shotgun sequence.